GGGGAAUAUUGGACAAUGGGCGCAAGCCUGAUCCAGCCAUACCGCGUGGGUGAAGAAGGCCUUCGGGUUGUAAAGCCCUUUUGUUGGGAAAGAAAAGCAAUCGAUUAAUACCCGGUUGUUCUGACGGUACCCAAAGAAUAAGCACCGGCUAACUUCGUGCCAGCAGCCGCGGUAAUACGAAGGGUGCAAGCGUUACUCGGAAUUACUGGGCGUAAAGCGUGCGUAGGUGGUUGUUUAAGUCUGUUGUGAAAGCCCUGGGCUCAACCUGGGAAUUGCAGUGGAUACUGGGCAACUAGAGUGUGGUAGAGGGUAGUGGAAUUCCCGGUGUAGCAGUGAAAUGCGUAGAGAUCGGGAGGAACAUCCAUGGCGAAGGCAGCUACCUGGACCAACACUGACACUGAGGCACGAAAGCGUGGGGAGCAAACAGGAUUAGAUACCCUGGUAGUC
rnacentral:rRNA from 1 species